rnacentral:rRNA from 1 species
GAUAAACGCUGGCGGCGCACAUAAGACAUGCAAGUUGAACGGACUUAAUCGAAAUAUUUAUAUUUUGAAGCGGUUAGUGGCGGACUGGUGAGUAACGCGUAAGGAACCUGCCUAUUAGAGGGGAAUAACAGUGAGAAAUCAUUGCUAAUACCGCAUAUGCCAUAGAUAUCACAUGAUAACAGUGGGAAAGGAGCAAUCCGCUAAUAGAUGGCCUUGCGUCUGAUUAGAUAGUUGGUGGGGUAACGGCCUACCAAGUCGACGAUCAGUAGCCGGACUGAGAGGUUGAGCGGCCACCUUGGGACUGAGGUCCGGCCCCGACUCCUACGGGAGGCAGCAGUCGGGAAUAUUGCGCAAUGGAGGCAACUCUGACGCAGUGACGCCGCGUAUAGGAAGAAGGUUUUCGGAUUGUAAACUAUUGUCGUUAGGGAAGAGAAAGGACAGUACCUAAGGAGGAAGCUCCGGCUAACUACGUG